GACGAACGCUGGCGGCGUGCUUAACACAUGCAAGUCGAACGGAAAGGCCCCUUUGGGGGUCCUCGAGUGGCGCACGGGUGAGUAACACGUGAGUAACCUGCCCUUGACUUCGGGAUAACUUCAGGAAACUGGGGCUAAUACCGGAUAGGAAUCCUUGCUGCAUGGUGGAGGUUGGAAAGCUUCGGCGGUUUUGGAUGGACUCGCGGCUUAUCAGCUUGUUGGUGGGGUAGUGGCUUACCAAGGCGUUGACGGGUAGCCGGCCUGAGAGGGCGACCGGCCACAUUGAGACUGAGAUACGGCCCAGACUCCUACGGGAGGCAGCAGUGGGGAAUAUUGCACAAUGGGCGGAAGCCUGAUGCAGCAACGCCGCGUGCGGGAUGACGGCCUUCGGGUUGUAAACCGCUUUCAGCAGGGGCGAAGCUUGUGGUGACGGUACCUGCAGAAGAAGCACCGGCUAACUACGUG
rnacentral:rRNA from 1 species